GCUACCGUGGUGUAGUGGUAUCACGUUCCCUUCACAUUCUCUGUGUACAGGAAAGGUCUUUCGAUCCUGGACGGUAGUA
rnacentral:tRNA from 1 species